rnacentral:rRNA from 1 species
CUACCAACGUUAUGACUUCCAAAUAACUAAGUAGAGAUACGUUAAGGUGCCCUUCGGGGAAAGUAGAGACAGGUGGUGCAUGGUUGUUGUCAGCUCGUGUCGUGAGAUGUUGGGUUAAAUCCCGCAACGAGCGCAACCCCUUUUGUUAGUUGUUACGCAAGAGCACUCUAGCGAGACUGCCGGUGACAAAACGGAGGAAGGUGGGGAAGACGUCAAAUCAUCAUGCCCCUUAUGUCCUGGGCUACACACGUAAUACAAUGGUGGUAACCAAGGGGAGGCAAAGCGGGGAGGUGGGGCAAUUCCAUAAAAACCGUCUCAGUUCGGAUUGCAGGCUGCAACUCGCCUGCAUGAAGUUGGAAUUGUUAGUAAUCGCGGAUCAGCAUGUCGCGGUGAAUACGUUCCCGGGCUUUGUACACACCGCCCGUCACACCAUGAGAGUCGGGAACACCCGAAGUCGGUGAUCUAACCGCAAGGAGGGAGCGGCUCGAAGGUGGGUUCGGAUGAACUUGGGCGCCUC